AUGUCAGAGGAAAUGAAGGAUAAAUUUGAGAAGUAUUGGAAAGAUAUACAUGGUCUUAUGGCAGUUGCAACAGUUUUUGAUCCAAGGUACAAACUUCAUAUUCUCAAUGCUCUGUAUGGUCCUCUGUACGGUAGACAUCAUGCAUCCAAAGAAAUAGGGAAAGUGAGGGGGUUAAUGUUUGACUUGGUAAAGCAAUACUAAGAUAAAGCAGAAUGUGAGGAUACAUGGGAUGCUUCUGCUACUUCAAUCCCAUCUGGAGAAGAGGAUGAAGCCAUGAAACUCUUGGAUCUUUAUAUGUCCAAUCGUGUUGUUACACCUUCUUCUUCUUCUUCGUCCCAUACAGAAUUGGAAUUGUAUUUGGAAGAAGCUCCUCUGCCUAGAACACAAGACCUGGACAUCAUUGAUUGGUGGAAGGUUGGGGGCUUCAAGUAUCCUACCUUACAAAAACUUGCUCGUGAUAUAUUGCCUAUUCCUAUAACAUCCGUUGCUUCAGAAUGUGCAUUCAGUACUAGUGGUAGAGCUCUUAGUGCACACCAUAGUAGACUUACUCCUAAUGUGGCUGAAUCUCUCAUGUGCAUGCAAGCUUGGUCUCGUGCUAAUUUAUUAGGUACUCAAUGUUUGAACUUGCAUCUUAUUCUUAUUUUCGAAAUACCUUGCUGUUUACAUACUAAUUGUUGGUUAUUUCAUUAG
rnacentral:rRNA from 1 species